rnacentral:sRNA from 1 species
AUAAAAUUUUGCAAAUUCUAUCUAUCUAUUUAUAAAAUAUUUUUGUUUUAUAGUUUACAAUUGUUAUUAAGUAACGUCCUGUCAAACCCGUCCCGCCAACUCGUUCCGUAAAAAAAACUUAUCGAUCUUAUUUAUGAUAUAUUUAUGAAUCAUUGUCUAAAUAUUUUGUAAUUUUGUAGUAAUUAAAUGCUAUCAAAUAUCUCUGCGGUUUGAUGAUUAUAAUAUAAUUGUUAUAGUUAUGUAGAAAAACAAUAUAAAAAUGAUAAUUUUGUAGUAGUUAAA